AACGAACGCUGGCGGCAUGCCUAACACAUGCCAGUCGAACGAGCCCUUCGGGUCUAGUGGCGCACGGGUGCGUAACGCGUGGGACCCUGCCCUUAGGUUCGGAAUAACUCCCCGAAAGGGGUGCUAAUCCCGGAUAUUGUCUGCGGACCAAAGCUUUAUCGCUUUUGGGUGGGCCCGCGUUGGUUUGGCUAGUUGGUAGGGUAAAAGCCUACCAAGGCGUAGAUCCAUUGGUAGUCUGAGAGGAUGAUCAGCCACACUGGGACGGAGACACGGCCCAGACUCCUACGGGAGGCAGCAGUGGGGAAUAUUGGACAAUGGGCGAAAGCCUGAUCCAGCAAUGCCGCGUGAGUGAUGAAGGCCUUAGAGUUGUAAAGCUCUUUUACCCGGGAUGAUAAUGACAGUACCGGGAGAAUAAGCUCCGGCUAACUCCGUG
rnacentral:rRNA from 1 species